rnacentral:rRNA from 1 species
GACGAACGCUGGCGGCGUGCUUAACACAUGCAAGUCGAACGGAAAGGCCCUGCUUUUGUGGGGUGCUCGAGUGGCGAACGGGUGAGUAACACGUGAGUAACCUGCCCUUGACUUUGGGAUAACUUCAGGAAACUGGGGCUAAUACCGGAUAGGAGCUCCUGCUGCAUGGUGGGGGUUGGAAAGUUUCGGCGGUUGGGGAUGGACUCGCGGCUUAUCAGCUUGUUGGUGGGGUAGUGGCUUACCAAGGCUUUGACGGGUAGCCGGCCUGAGAGGGUGACCGGCCACAUUGGGACUGAUAUACGGCCCAGACCCCGGCGGGAGGCAGCGGUGGGGAAUAUGGCACAAGGGGCGGAACCCGGAUGCAGCAACGCCGGGGGCGGGAGGCGGGCUUUGGGUUUGUAAACCGCUUUCGCCGGGGAGGAGGCGGGAGUGACGGUAAUGGGAAAAGAAGCACGGGCUAACUACGUG